rnacentral:rRNA from 1 species
UACGUAGGGUGCGAGCGUUGUCCGGAAUUAUUGGGCGUAAAGGGCUCGUAGGCGGUUUGUCGCGUCGGGAGUGAAAUCAUCUGGCUUAACUGGGUGCUUGCUUUCGAUACGGGCAGACUAGAGGUAUGCAGGGGAGAACGGAAUUCCUGGUGUAGCGGUGAAAUGCGCAGAUAUCAGGAGGAACACCGGUGGCGAAGGCGGUUCUCUGGGCAUGAUCUGACGCUGAGGAGCGAAAGCGUGGGGAGCGAACAGG